CCUACGGGAGGCAGCAGUGAGGAAUAUUGGUCAAUGGACGCAAGUCUGAACCAGCCAUGCCGCGUGCAGGAAGACGGCUCUAUGAGUUGUAAACUGCUUUUGUACGAGGGUAAACGCAGAUACGCGUAUCUGUCUGAAAGUAUCGUACGAAUAAGGAUCGGCUAACUCCGUGACAGCGGCCGCGGUAAUACGGAGGAUUCAAGUGUUAUCAGGAUUUAUUGGGUUUAAAGGGUGCGUAGGCGGUCGGAUAAGUUAGAGGUGAAAUCCCGGGGUUCAACUUCGGAAUUGCCUCUGAUACUGUGCGGCUAGAGAGUAGUUGCGGUAGGCGGAAUGUAUGGUGUAGCGGUGAAAUGCUUAGAGAUCAUACAGAACACCGAUUGCGAAGGCAGCUUACCAAGCUACUUCUGACGUUGAGGCACGAAAGCGUGGGGAGCAAACAGGAUUAGAUACCCGGGUAGUC
rnacentral:rRNA from 1 species